CACCCUGUUCUCAGAAUGCUGGCAUCGAGGCUCACACACCGCCCCUCUCGGCUCUUCUCAUCCCUGCUCCCAGGUCCAGGAAUCAUUGUGGAAGAGACAGAUGGACAAUCCAGUAGCAGAAUUCUGAAGCGGAAACAGUAUUUGCCAGGGAUGUAGCCCCUGAAAGGCCACCUUACUCCAGCAGUUUGUUCUACAUCCAAGUACAUGAAGUGUACUUAGUGGAUUGAAAAACAAAAUGAGCCUGUGAAGUGUGGGAAGAGUAGUGAUGACGAACAGGGGAGAAGUUAGAAAA